UGGCUGCGAAAAGAGUUUUAAUUUUUUUCAGAGACCGGACAAAAUUAGCGGUCUCAGGCGACAGGCACAAAACGGAGAGAAAUUAUGUUUGAA
rfam:Cronobacter sp. DJ34 Bact_Abyss2_96, whole genome shotgun sequence.